rnacentral:rRNA from 1 species
UACAGGGGGUGCAAACGUUGCUCGGAAUUAUUGGGCGUAAAGCGCGCGUAGGCGGCUACUUAAGUCGGAUGUGAAAGCCCCUGGCUCAACUGGGGAAGUGCACCCGAAACUGAGUGGCUUGAGUACUAAAGAGGGUCGCGGAAUUCCCGGUGUAGAGGUGAAAUUCGUAGAUAUCGGGAGGAACACCUGCGGCGAAGGCGGGUUGCUGGGCUGAUACUGACGCUGAGGCGCGAAAGCCAGGGGAGCGGACGGG